GAUGAACGCUGGCGGCGUGCCUAAUACAUGCAAGUCGAGCGAACGGACGAGAAGCUUGCUUCUCUGAUGUUAGCGGCGGACGGGUGAGUAACACGUGGAUAACCUACCUAUAAGACUGGGAUAACUUCGGGAAACCGGAGCUAAUACCGGAUAAUAUUUUGAACCGCAUGGUUCAAAAGUGAAAGACGGUCUUGCUGUCACUUAUAGAUGGAUCCGCGCUGCAUUAGCUAGUUGGUAAGGUAACGGCUUACCAAGGCAACGAUGCAUAGCCGACCUGAGAGGGUGAUCGGCCACACUGGAACUGAGACACGGUCCAGACUCCUACGGGAGGCAGCAGUAGGGAAUCUUGCGCAAUGGGCGAAAGCCUGACGGAGCAACGCCGCGUGAGUGAAGAAGGUCUUCGGAUCGUAAAACUCUGUUAUUAGGGAAGAACAUAUGUGUAAGUAACUGUGCACAUCUUGACGGUACCUAAUCAGAAAGCAACGGCUAACUACGUG
rnacentral:rRNA from 1 species